CACACAUCACCUUUUAAUUGUUCAGCAUGUUCAGAACACAGCUCUAAUUGUUCAAAUUGCUUCUAUAUACUCUCAUAGAUUUGUGUUCUUGGUCAGCAAAUUAUUCAACAGGUAACAGUACUCCAAAUACAGAUUGUUCUUGUUCAGAUUUGUUCAAAAUAUCCAUGCACACACAUACACACGGUUUCAGGUAAACAGUAUAUCUACUCCUACUGUAAUAGGAGUAUAGUAUAUUCUGAACAUUACUCCUAUAUACUCCUACUAUAGGAGUAUAUCUACAGGACCUGUACUCCUAUAUACUGAGAGAAGAGAGAAGAGAUUGAGAGAGAAGAGAAGAGAGUAUAUAUUCCUACAGUAAUCAGAAGAUAGAUGUACAACAAGCAUAUAUAUUCAGCAGUCACACUACUUACAAAGCUUCAUUGCACUAAAAAGAUGUCAUUCUUACUCAAGUUCAGGUUUAAGCAGUCUUAAUUAACAAGUUCAGAUUUGGUUCAGGUUUAAGCAAUGUUAAUUAAACAUGCACAGAGGCAUAGCUAAACAUGUCAUUUGAGAGAGAAGAGAAGUUAAUUCAGAAGAGAGAAGAAUACAUCUACAAAAUACUCCUAGCAGACAACAUGCGUACAUGUACACAGAGAAAGGCAAAGCAUAUGAGAACUUAUCUUAUGAGUAGGAGUAGAUCUUGUAGAGCAGUACCCAAUGCUCCACCUGUAGACGGUGUUGAAAAAAAAAAGAAAACUUCAAGUUACUCCCAAUCAUAAAAAAACUUUAAACAUAUAUCAUGGGCAGCUGAAAGUAAAUGCACAAUCAAAGGCAAAUCAACUUCUGAAAAAAGAGAGGCAAAUGGAACUCACUUUUGUAGCCUCUUCUGGAUCCUCACCUAUAUUAUGUUUUCAGCAAGAACAGAUAGAGUCUUAGCAACAACAAAUGGACUCUUAGCAAAACCAGCAAAUCAGUACAUGGACUACUAGCAAAAUCUGCACUAGAUCAUGGUGUACAUUAACAGUAAAUAAAGAUCAGAGAGCAUAGCAAAAAUAGAAACAAGAACAAGAACAUAGUUUUUAGAAAUGCUACUCCUAGCAAAAUCUGCACCAGAUCAUGGAGUACUCGGAGAGCUUUCUGAAUUGAUUUGUGCACUUAAACAGUACUCCUAGCUAAGCUAGAGGAGUAUGCUAAUCUGAAUUUCUGAAUUGAAUACUGCACUUCAACUAGAACAAGAACAGAGCAAUGACAUCUCAGAAAAAGAAAAUAAUAGGACCAAAGUACUCCUAGCUAAGUGCAUAGUACGUGUACAACAUUUGAACAAGAACCGAGUACUCAUGCUAAACAAGAACAGAGCCAACGCACAACAAAAAUGAACAAGAACAGAGUAC
rnacentral:lncRNA from 1 species